AUGAAGUUACACAACACAUUCUUUCUUUACCUUGGGCAUAUGUUGGUAUCAACUAUUAUUUGGUCACCCACUAUCCUCAUAUACACCGCGCACAAUAUAGGCAGACAAAAAGAACGACUUGGCUUUCUACCCAAACCAGGAUCUACUGCAAAAACAAAACAAACAAAAGGUACAAUACUCCCUGUAUUGGAACUCUUCCACCCCCCAAAAUGGUCAAGUACUGUAACCUCGCUGGGAGCGGGGCCCUGCCAGAAUUGCCUACGGAACUGUAAGAUGUACUAUAAGAUGCACCGUACACUCAUGAUGCGAUCAUGGCCUUCAGCAGAAGUGUGGAAGACACAGUCCUGAGCUUGGAACCUUUUGAAUGACGGCAAAACUCCCUCCUCCAGUAGUAUAUACAAGAUGUGAAGAUUAAGACAUGAAUAACAGUUGGCUGUAUAUGUAAGUAAUAAUUUGCUUUACCCCACUCACAAGGACGGCUGUUCAGUGUGGCAUGGGUUGAGAAAUGUUUACACACCUUAUUGAAAAUGCUAAAUAGAAUUAUACAGACAAUGAAGCAUUCCAAUAACUAUAUUGCCAUAUACCUGUGUGCCACUGCCAGCUGGUCAGCUCUCAAGCCUACAAGAGCAGAGCAAAGUGAUCCCUUUGGGAUCUGUUGAUGCAUUGUUGCUAAAUAUUUGCAAAGCAGAGACAGGAAAUAUAUUGUUCAAGGUUAAUUAGUUGCUUUUAUAGUUCUAGAAGGGAAGUAAGUAAUUACUUACUAUUGAACUUGCAGUGUAAAAAGUAAUUGGUUCCUUUAUUUUUCUGUCAGCUCAUCCUUCUACUCCAGAAGUACCACAGAAUUGCUUCUGAAAUGAACAAAACAAAAAACUGAAACAUGUGCCUGUUGCUGCUUUAGUCCCUGGGGCAAACACAUUUUGAAACAUGUUCUUCCACCUCAUGAAAUGUGUGGUCUCGACUUAGCCCAACCGGAGCAGGAUAAUAUAUAAGUGUCUAAUUUCCCGGAAUGUAAUGGAAACAGCUCAAUAAAAAGAGUAUCUGCAGCUAAAGAACA
rnacentral:lncRNA from 1 species